rnacentral:rRNA from 1 species
UACGGGGGGGGUAAGCGUUGUUCGGAAUUACUGGGCGUAAAGGCUCGUAGGCGGCCAACUAAGUCAUACGUGAAAUCCCUCAGCUUAACUGGGGAACUGCGUGUGAUACUGGAUGGCUUGGAUUUGGGAGAGGGAUGCGGAAUUCCAGGUGUAGCGGUGAAAUGCGUAGAUAUCUGGAGGAACACCGGUGGCGAAGGCGGCAUCCUGGACCAAUAUUGACGCUGAGGAGCGAAAGCCAGGGGAGCAAACGGG